rnacentral:tRNA from 1 species
GGUGGGUUAGCUCGGUGGAUAGAGCUUAGGUCUCGUAACCGAAAGGUCGCGGGAUCGAAUCCUGCUAGAGACUG